CGGGACACGUGGUAUCCUGUCUGAAUAUGGGGGGACCAUCCUCCAAGGCUAAAUACUCCUGACUGACCGAUAGUGAACCAGUACCGUGAGGGAAAGGCGAAAAGAACCCCGGCGAGGGGAGUGAAAAAGAACCUGAAACCGUGUACGUACAAGCAGUGGGAGCCUCUUAAUGGGGUGACUGCGUACCUUUUGUAUAAUGGGUCAGCGACUUAUAUUCUGUAGCAAGGUUAACCGAAUAGGGGAGCCGAAGGGAAACCGAGUCUUAACUGGGCGUUAAGUUGCAGGGUAUAGACCCGAAACCCGGUGAUCUAGCCAUGGGCAGGUUGAAGGUUGGGUAACACUAACUGGAGGACCGAACCGACUAAUGUUGAAAAAUUAGCGGAUGACUUGUGGCUGGGGGUGAAAGGCCAAUCAAACCGGGAGAUAGCUGGUUCUCCCCGAAAGCUAUUUAGGUAGCGCCUCGUGAAUUCAUCUCCGGGGGUAGAGCACUGUUUCGGCAAGGGGGUCAUCCCGACUUACCAACCCGAUGCAAACUGCGAAUACCGGAGAAUGUUAUCACGGGAGACACACGGCGGGUGCUAACGUCCGUCGUGAAGAGGGAAACAACCCAGACCGCCAGCUAAGGUCCCAAAGUCAUGGUUAAGUGGGAAACGAUGUGGGAAGGCCCAGACAGCCAGGAUGUUGGCUUAGAAGCAGCCAUCAUUUAAAGAAAGCGUAAUAGCUCACUGGUCGAGUCGGCCUGCGCGGAAGAUGUAACGGGGCUAAACCAUGCACCGAAGCUGCGGCAGCGACACUAUGUGUUGUUGGGUAGGGGAGCGUUCUGUAAGCCUGUGAAGGUGUACUGUGAGGUAUGCUGGAGGUAUCAGAAGUGCGAAUGCUGACAUAAGUAACGAUAAAGCGGGUGAAAAGCCCGCUCGCCGGAAGACCAAGGGUUCCUGUCCAACGUUAAUCGGGGCAGGGUGAGUCGACCCCUAAGGCGAGGCCGAAAGGCGUAGUCGAUGGGAAACAGGUUAAUAUUCCUGUACUUGGUGUUACUGCGAAGGGGGGACGGAGAAGGCUAUGUUGGCCGGGCGACGGUUGUCCCGGUUUAAGCGUGUAGGCUGGUUUUCCAGGCAAAUCCGGAAAAUCAAGGCUGAGGCGUGAUGACGAGGCACUACGGUGCUGAAGCAACAAAUGCCCUGCUUCCAGGAAAAGCCUCUAAGCAUCAGGUAACAUCAAAUCGUACCCCAAACCGACACAGGUGGUCAGGUAGAGAAUACCAAGGCGCUUGAGAGAACUCGGGUGAAGGAACUAGGCAAAAUGGUGCCGUAACUUCGGGAGAAGGCACGCUGAUAUGUAGGUGAAGUCCCUCGCGGAUGGAGCUGAAAUCAGUCGAAGAUACCAGCUGGCUGCAACUGUUUAUUAAAAACACAGCACUGUGCAAACACGAAAGUGGACGUAUACGGUGUGACGCCUGCCCGGUGCCGGAAGGUUAAUUGAUGGGGUUAGCGGUAACGCGAAGCUCUUGAUCGAAGCCCCGGUAAACGGCGGCCGUAACUAUAACGGUCCUAAGGUAGCGAAAUUCCUUGUCGGGUAAGUUCCGACCUGCACGAAUGGCGUAAUGAUGGCCAGGCUGUCUCCACCCGAGACUCAGUGAAAUUGAACUCGCUGUGAAGAUGCAGUGUACCCGCGGCAAGACGGAAAGACCCCGUGAACCUUUACUAUAGCUUGACACUGAACAUUGAGCCUUGAUGUGUAGGAUAGGUGGGAGGCUUUGAAGUGUGGACGCCAGUCUGCAUGGAGCCGGCCUUGAAAUACCACCCUUUAAUGUUUGAUGUUCUAACGUUGGCCCCUGAUCGGGGUUGCGGACAGUGUCUGGUGGGUAGUUUGACUGGGGCGGUCUCCUCCUAAAGAGUAACGGAGGAGCACGAAGGUUGGCUAAUCCUGGUCGGACAUCAGGAGGUUAGUGCAAUGGCAUAAGCCAGCUUGACUGCGAGCGUGACGGCGCGAGCAGGUGCGAAAGCAGGUCAUAGUGAUCCGGUGGUUCUGAAUGGAAGGGCCAUCGCUCAACGGAUAAAAGGUACUCCGGGGAUAACAGGCUGAUACCGCCCAAGAGUUCAUAUCGACGGCGGUGUUUGGCACCUCGAUGUCGGCUCAUCACAUCCUGGGGCUGAAGUAGGUCCCAAGGGUAUGGCUGUUCGCCAUUUAAAGUGGUACGCGAGCUGGGUUUAGAACGUCGUGAGACAGUUCGGUCCCUAUCUGCCGUGGGCGCUGGAGAACUGAGGGGGGCUGCUCCUAGUACGAGAGGACCGGAGUGGACGCAUCACUGGUGUUCGGGUUGUCAUGCCAAUGGCACUGCCCGGUAGCUAAAUGCGGAAGAGAUAAGUGCUGAAAGCAUCUAAGCACGAAACUUGCCCC
rnacentral:rRNA from 1 species